CUACGGGGCGCACCAGUGAGGAAUAUUGCACAAUGGGGGAAACCCUGAUGCAGCAACGCCGCGUGGAGGAUGACGCAUUUCGGUGUGUAAACUCCUUUUAUCAGAGAAGAAAAUGACGGUAUCUGAUGAAUAAGCUCCGGCUAACUCCGUGCCAGCAGCCGCGGUAAUACGGAGGGAGCAAGCGUUAUUCGGAAUCACUGGGCGUAAAGGACGCGUAGGCGGAUUUUUAAGUCAGGUGUGAAAUCCUACAGCUCAACUGUAGAACUGCACUUGAAACUGGGAACCUAGAGUAUGGAAGGGGCAGGUGGAAUUAGUGGUGUAGGGGUAAAAUCCGUAGAUAUCACUAGGAAUACCGAAAGCGAAGGCGACCUGCUGGGACAUAACUGACGCUGAGGCGUGAAAGCGUGGGGAGCAAACAGGAUUAGAUACCCCUGUAGUC
rnacentral:rRNA from 1 species